rnacentral:rRNA from 1 species
CUACGGGCGGCAGCAGUGGGGAAUAUUGGACAAUGGGCGAAAGCCUGAUCCAGCCAUGCCGCGUGUGUGAAUAAGGCCUUCGGGUUGUAAAGCACUUUCAGUGGGGAAGAAAGCCUUGGGGCUAAUACCCUCGAGGAAGGACAUCACCCACAGAAGAAGCACCGGCUAACUCCGUGCCAGCAGCCGCGGUAAUACGGAGGGUGCGAGCGUUAAUCGGAAUUACUGGGCGUAAAGCGCGCGUAGGCGGUCUGAUAAGCCGGUUGUGAAAGCCCCGGGCUCAACCUGGGAACGGCAUCCGGAACUGUCAGGCUAGAGUGCAGGAGAGGAAGGUAGAAUUCCCGGUGUAGCGGUGAAAUGCGUAGAGAUCGGGAGGAAUACCAGUGGCGAAGGCGGCCUUCUGGACUGACACUGACGCUGAGGUGCGAAAGCGUGGGUAGCAAACAGGAUUAGAUACCCCAGUAGUC